CGCGUAUAGAAUCUACCUUGUACUGAGGGAUAGCCCAGAGAAAUUUGGAUUAAUACCUCAUGGUAUGUAUAGAUGGCAUCAUCCAUACAUUAAAGGUUACGGUAUAAGAUGACUAUGCGUCCUAUUAGCUAGAUGGUGUGGUAACGGCACACCAUGGCAACGAUAGGUAGGGGCCCUGAGAGGGGGAUCCCCCACACUGGUACUGAGACACGGACCAGACUCCUACGGGAGGCAGCAGUGAGGAAUAUUGGACAAUGGGGGCAACCCUGAUCCAGCCAUGCCGCGUGCAGGAAGACUGCC
rnacentral:rRNA from 1 species